rnacentral:rRNA from 1 species
UGCAUGGUUGUCGUCAGCUCGUGUCGUGAGAUGUUGGGUUAAGUCCCGCAACGAGCGCAACCCUUGUCUUUAGUUGCCAUCAUUAAGUUGGGCACUCUAGAGAGACUGCCAGGGAUAACCUGGAGGAAGGUGGGGAUGACGUCAAAUCAUCAUGCCCCUUAUGCUUAGGGCUACACACGUGCUACAAUGGGUAGUACAGAGGGUUGCCAAGCCGUAAGGUGGAGCUAAUCCCUUAAAGCUACUCUCAGUUCGGAUUGUAGGCUGAAACUCGCCUACAUGAAGCUGGAGUUACUAGUAAUCGCAGAUCAGAAUGCUGCGGUGAAUGCGUUCCCGGGUCUUGUACACACCGCCCGUCACACCACGGGAGUUGGAGACGCCCGAAGCCGA